UAAGUUUUAAGUGAUUAAACGUUGAGUAAAUUCAAUCAUAAUAGGACAUAAUGAGUUGAUUUAAUAAGAUAUGAUGUGGCCAUGAUAUGUCUUAAACUCAAAUGGUAAGUUCAUAAGUGUUUGGACUUGGAAAUUUAAGAGCAAAUUGUAAUAAUUUGUUUAGGACAGCAGCAGUAACGUGAUUUUAGAAAAUCACUAUAAAUU
rnacentral:lncRNA from 1 species